rnacentral:rRNA from 1 species
GACGAACGCUGGCGGCGUGCUUAACACAUGCAAGUCGAACGGAAAGGCCCUGCUUUUGGGGGGUGCUCGAGUUGCGAACGGGUGAGUAACACGUGAGUAACCUGUCCCUGACUUUGGGAUAACUUCAGGAAACUGGGGCUCAUAGCGGCUAGGAGCUCCUGCUGCAUGGUGGGGGUUGGUAAGUUUCGGUGGUUGGGGAUGGAAUGGCGGCUUAUCAGCUUGUUGCUUGGGUAGUGGCUUACCAAGGCCAUGACCGGUAGCAGGCCUGAGAGGGUGACCGGCCACGUUAGGACUGAGAUACGGCCCAGACUACUACGGGAGGCAGCGGUGGAGAAUAUUACACAGUGGGCGGGAGGCUGACGCAGCAACGCCGCGUGCGGGAUGACGGCCAUCGGGUUGUGAACCGCUUUCGCCUGUGACGAAGCGUGAGUGACGGUAAUGGGUAAAGAAGCACCGGCUAACUACGUG